CCUACGGGGGGCAGCAGUGAGGAAUAUUGGUCAAUGGACGAGAGUCUGAACCAGCCAAGUAGCGUGAAGGAUGACUGCCCUAUGUGUUGUAAACUUCUUUUAUAUGGGAAUAAAAUGUUCCACGUGUGGGAUUUUGUAUGUACCAUAUGAAUAAGGAUCGGCUAACUCCGUGCCAGCAGCCGCGGUAAUACGGAGGAUCCGAGCGUUAUCCGGAUUUAUUGGGUUUAAAGGGAGCGUAGGUGGAUUGUUAAGUCAGUUGUGAAAGUUUGCGGCUCAACCGUAAAAUUGCAGUUGAAACUGGCAGUCUUGAGUACAGUAGAGGUGGGCGGAAUUCGUGGUGUAGCGGUGAAAUGCUUAGAUAUCACGAAGAACUCCGAUUGCGAAGGCAGUUCACUGGACUGCAACUGACACUGAGGCUCGAAAGUGUGGGUAUCAAACAGGAUUAGAUACCCCUGUAGUC
rnacentral:rRNA from 1 species